ACAACACAGGACACUCCAGGAGGUGAUAGCCUGGUUCCCUCCUCAGGUCACCACAACACAGGACAGUCCAGGUGGUGAUAGCCUGGUUCCCUCCUCAGGUCACCACAACACAGGACAGUCCAGGUGGUGAUAGCCUGGUUCCCUCCUCAGGUCACCACAACACAGGACAGUCCAGGUGGUGAUAGCCUGGUUCCCUCCUCAGGUCACCACAACACAGGACAGUCCAGGUGGUGAUAGCCUGGUUCCCUCCUCAGGUCACCACAACACAGGACAGUCCAGGUGGUGAUAGCCUGGUUCCCUCCUCAGGUCACCACAACACAGGACAGUCCAGGUGGUGAUAGCCUGGUUCCCUCCUCAGGUCACCACAACACAGGACAGUCCAGGAGGUGAUAGCCUGGUUCCCUCCUCAGGUCACCACAACACAGGACAGUCCAGGUGGUGAUAGCCUGGUUCCCUCCUCAGGUCACCACAACACAGGACAGUCCAGGUGGUGAUAGCCUGGUUCCCUCCUCAGGUCACCACAACACAGGACAGUCCAGGUGGUGAUAGCCUGGUUCCCUCCUCAGGUCACCACAACACAGGACAGUCCAGGUGGUGAUAGCCUGGUUCCCUCCUCAGGUCACCACAACACAGGACAGUCCAGGAGGUGAUAGCCUGGUUCCCUCCUCAGGUCACCACAACACAGGACAGUCCAGGUGGUGAUAGCCUGGUUCCCUCCUCAGGUCACCACAACACAGGACAGUCCAGGAGGUGAUAGCCUGGUUCCCUCCUCAGGUCACCACAACACAGGACAGUCCAGGUGGGGAUAGCCUGGUUCCCUCCUCAGGUCACCACAACACAGGACAGUCCAGGUGGUGAUAGCCUGGUUCCCUCCUCAGGUCACCACAACACAGGACAGUCCAGGUGGUGAUAGCCUGGUUCCCUCCUCAGGUCACCACAACACAGGACAGUCCAGGUGGUGAUAGCCUGGUUCCCUCCUCAGGUCACCACAACACAGGACAGUCCAGGUGGUGAUAGCCUGGUUCCCUCCUCAGGUCACCACAACACAGGACAGUCCAGGUGGUGAUAGCCUGGUUCCCUCCUCAGGUCACCACAACACAGGA